CCUACGGGGGGCAGCAGUGGGGAAUAUUGGACAAUGGGCGAAAGCCUGAUCCAGCCAUGCCGCGUGUGUGAAGAAGGCCUUCGGGUUGUAAAGCACUUUCAGUGGGGAAGAAAGCCUUGGGGCUAAUACCCUCGAGGAAGGACAUCACCCACAGAAGAAGCACCGGCUAACUCCGUGCCAGCAGCCGCGGGAAUACGGAGGGUGCGAGCGUUAAUCGGAAUUACUGGGCGUAAAGCGCGCGUAGGCGGUCUGAUAAGCCGGUUGUGAAAGCCCCGGGCUCAACCUGGGAACGGCAUCCGGAACUGUCAGGCUAGAGUGCAGGAGAGGAAGGUAGAAUUCCCGGUGUAGCGGUGAAAUGCGUAGAGAUCGGGAGGAAUACCAGUGGCGAAGGCGGCCUUCUGGACUGACACUGACGCUGAGGUGCGAAAGCGUGGGUAGCAAACAGGAUUAGAUACCCCUGUAGUC
rnacentral:rRNA from 1 species